AUUGAAACUGGUUCCAAUGUUGAUAAAAAUGAUGAUAAAACUAAUGAUUUGGGAACAAAUGGCCCAUCAAGAAAAAAUGUGGCUAAUACUAAUGCUGCAAAAAAUGGUUCAGAUCAGAGAUAUGUGGAAAAAGAAACAGAUAUUCCAACAGCUGCUUUCAAGGAUGAUAACUUAGUUAAAAAUAAAGUAGUGCAGAAAAAAGGCGCUAAAAACUCAGAAAAAACAAGUGACAAGUCUAAAAUACAAAUCACAGCGAGUGGCAGCGUCCAAAAUACUUGUCCUAUAGUUAUAAUUGUAAAUGAUCCUCAACUAAAUUCUCAACCACAAGUUAAUGCUUUAAAGAUAUCAAAUGGACUGACAAUUAUUAAGAA